rnacentral:rRNA from 1 species
UAAGGGAUAUUGGUCAAUGGGGGGAAAACCCUGAACCAGCAACGCCGCGUGAGGGAAGACGGUUUUCGGAUUGUAAACCUCUGUCCUCUGUGAAGAUGAUGACGGUAGCAGAGGAGGAAGCUCCGGCUAACUACGUGCC